CCGGCUGAACUGCUGGCGCCCUACAUUGGCGACAUUGCGGCUGAAAGCAUUAGCAAGGUCCUUCGCGGCGGCUCGUCAUUCCUGCGUAAAGGGUUACAGCGUCAGCAACGCUAUGUUGCUGAGGUGAUUACUGAAGAGUGGCGUAUGGCGCCAGGCACGCUGGAAUUAGCAUGGUUUGCGGAAGAAACGUCUGCCGUUGAACGUGCCGUCGACGCGCUAACCAAACGGCUGGAAAAACUGGAGGGCAAAUGA
rfam:Enterobacter sp. 638, complete genome.